GGGUCUGUGUGUAGGUACAGUUGCCGGGACCACCGGCAGCAACGCUCCGGUUCCUCGGCCGGAUGGUGGCUCGGUUGUUGCUAUUGUGAUCCGUUUCUAUGUAGCUUGAAGGUUAUUAUAUAAUUCUUGCAAGGUCUAUCGCGGAGACUAUCGCUGUCUCGUAAUCACUGCACCGACAUUUAACCACAGGGUGGUGAGUACUUGUAUAGCUGGUAUUUGACCAUCAGCGCCGUUUGCACCGUUAUCAUUUUCCCUGCAAUGGGCGUUUGGCAAUACUUCUGGGCCCUUUAGCACCAGUUGGCCUUAUGUGCACUCGGUAAAGCGGAGGCGUAGUAUCGACCUCUCUUCGCAACUAUAGCGUCGGCCCGAGGGAAAUAUCUGACACGAGUUUAGUUCGCAGCGAACAGCUGACUCCAGCGUGGCACUUGUGUAAACAAUGAGGGCGUCGGCUCCGUAUCCCUUUUCUCUGCGUGUCUGUCGCGUGCUGUCACAGCUUGAUGGGCGAUGCAUGGAGUUCAGGUUGAUUAUCGGGGGUACGGCAACCUGGCGUCGCAACCAUUCUGUUUUUUAUCUGUUUUUUUUUUUUGCUUGCUUUUAUAAUAACCUAUUAAUAAUAACCGACACACUUUCGGAAUAAUUCACGUUACAUUACAUCUUAAAUGAUAUGAUGACAGCUAUAAAUUAAAAAUGGACAAACAUACAGUUACCACGUUUCUAAUCCUGUCGAAGAAAACAGCUUUGUGCAUGUACCUAUUUGUCAUGAUAAGUUUCUUACAACGAUGAUUGCCGGUGUUCAGAUGUCAACUGUAUCUGGAUCAGUUCAUUGUGUAGUCAAUGUGUUUGGCUAGCGACAGGUGCGACUGCGGCUGAUCCCCCCCCCCCCCCUUCCACGUUUCAUGCGGUGCAACGGGAGAGCGUGCCGGGUCCGCGGAGCUCGCUGGAGGUGCGGCCAUCUUCUGCACGUAGGACUCCACCGGACGGCGGUGUGGGCGCCCUCUGACAACAGGCACCCCCUGCAGACUUCGAUGGCGGAGAGAACCACUGGGAAAACGGUACUCUCGGCCUCAGUCAGCAUUCAUCGCGUCGUCUUUGGCUCAACCGUCACCGCAGCUUACUCGACUGAACAAAGAUCAAAAGAGCAAGGCACAUCGCGGUUGUAUGUGGCUACCGCCUUCUGACUACCGGUGCUUAGUUCGUUUCGGUGCAGUUAAUAACUAUCGGAGACGUAUGCUUCGCGUAGCCCAUGCUAAGGACACAAGCCAGAGUGUCUUGUGUCAGUGUAGCGUAAUUGUUCAAGCUGCGUGACGCUCUCUUUUUUCCCCAGACAUAGAUGUAGUUUUGUAUCGACUUCAGAUAUUUCCAUUAAUUAGAUGGUUUGGUAAUUGGUGCACUCUUAAAGUAACUUCAUCAGGCUUAUCUCAAUCUAUAAUGUGUAUUAGAUGGGGUAUCGAUCUGCUCCGUUUAUGACUCGUCUCAUUCGCCCGUAAUGAUUCUGCCUGUGAUGGCGGCGCGGUCUCGGCAGUUUCCUUCCUCUCCAUUCAGUCACAUUAUCAACUACUGUCACAAUGGUGAUGCUGUUGUCCGAUACCUGUUGUGUGCUUCAGUCUACCCAGCGCUUCAAAACAAUAAAAUGUUAAUUAAAGA